CACUAGUAAUUGACUGUCACUUGAAUUGAUGACAGCUACUGAGCUAUGUAUUAGGAAGUAGAGAAUAUUUAAUGUCGGUUCGUUAUUUAUCCGAGGUUAAUUUUUCUAUUUUAGUUCGAAAUAUUUUUCCAACAGAAAGAGAUUUCACUGCUUUUAAAUAUAAAUUAAAUGUUUUGCUAUAAAAUCGGGCUUCUAUUUGACUUUCUGUUGUAACGUUAGAAAAGGACUAACAUUCAAAUGUCGCCUGUCAAUCGUCCACAACAAUAACCUUUCGUCAUUGUGAAAAAGCUAAUUACGUCUAAUUAGUCCACGAAAAAUAUUAAAACAGUAACAGUGAACAGCAUGGCGAAGGAGGAGGACGACGACAACUUGCCCGACAAGGACGCGGCGAAGGAAUUCUACGCUAAAUACGAACCGAAGGAAAUAAUAGGCAGGGGUAUCAGUUCAACGGUAAGAAGAUGCAUAGAGAAAGAGACAGGGCAUGAAUAUGCUGCCAAGAUCAUAGACCUCAGUCAGGAGUCGCAGGAUGGAGUGGAUACUCACACUAUGAGAGAUGCAACUCGGCAAGAGAUUCACAUACUCAGGAUGGUUGCUGGACACCCUUAUAUUAUUGAAUUGCAGGAUGUGUUUGAGUCGGAGACAUUCAUAUUCUUGGUGUUUGAGCUGUGCAAGAAUGGGGAGCUGUUUGACUACCUCACGUCCGUUGUGACACUGUCUGAAAAGAAGACUAGGUACAUCAUGAGACAAGUGUUGGAGGGCGUGCGGUACGUGCACAGCAAGAGUAUAGUGCACCGCGACCUGAAGCCGGAGAACAUCCUGCUGGACGAUCAGCUCAACGUCAAGAUCACAGACUUCGGCUUCGCGAAGGUGCUGAAAGACGGCGAGAGAUUGUUCGAGCUAUGCGGCACGCCAGGGUACCUCGCCCCGGAGACGCUGAAAGCGAAUAUGUUCGACGACGCGCCCGGGUACGGCAUGGAGGUCGAUAUUUGGGCGUGUGGUGUCAUCAUGUUUACGUUACUGGUGGGAUGUCCGCCGUUCUGGCACCGGAAGCAAAUGGUGAUGCUGCGGAACAUCAUGGAGGGGAAAUACUCUUUCACCAGCCCCGAGUGGGCGGACAUAUCAGAGGAUCCCAAGGACCUGAUAAGGAGGCUGCUUGUAGUAGAGCCGAGUGAAAGGAUUGAUAUACAUGAAGCCCUCAAUCAUUCCUUCUUCAACACUGUGUUGUGGGACCAGGACAUGAAGCCGAUCAAGCAGAGCUUCGCGACCAGCAGCCGCCGGAUGUCUAGGAUCGACCAGUUGACCUUGGCGAUCAAGAGCGGUGGUUUCAACGCGCGAGGCAAGCUGCGGCUGGGCAUGGUGACGGUGCUGGCGGCUGUGCGCCUGCGCCGUCUGCCGCACGCUGCCCCGCGAGCCACUCCGCUCGCCGACGCCGCACGAGACCCGUACGCAGUGCGUGUACUCAGGAAGGUGAUAGACGGAUGCGCGUUCCGCGUGUACGGUCACUGGGUGAAGAAGGGCGAGGGACAGAACCGGGCCGCGCUGUUCGAAAACAUGCCCAAGACGGAGCUGAAGAGUCUGUACGUGAGCAACCUCAGCCGAUAGCCGCUGACGGAGCGUCGCGCGCCAGCCUCUGUACUGCUCUACUGUUGGUCAGUCACCGCUACCAGGAUAGCAGAGCGAAUGAACACGUGUCACAUGCGAGAGAACGUCACGUGACGUAGGUUAGUUGUAGCGAUCCACGAUAUACUCUUAGUGCCACCCCUUAACCAGUGCCGGAUUCAACUAUAUGGCUUAAGGGGUAUAACAUUAGAGUGAAAUCUCUACGAAAAUACUAAUGCGAGAAUCAUUGCCAGAUGUAUAAAUACUAGUCCUCAGAAAUAUUUGAAUGAAUAAAAGGCAUCUGACGUCAUUAUCCGGCACUGUGCGUAAUAUUGACAGUUGACUUAUGUACGCCGUAGCUAGAUUGUAAAUGUAGAUAUGUAUGUCGUUAUAUAGUUAACUAUAGCUUUGUAUUUGGUUUGACGCCCAUACAAUUAUUACAUGAAGAUGUCAAAUAAUACUUGGAAUAGUCUACAACAAUUUGUAAUUCGAAAUAUAAAACUUCGAAAUAUACACUAAGACGCUCAUGUUUUAUGUAAGCGAGAAGGGUUGACGAAAGGAUAUAUUGUAUGUUCUUGAAAAUACAUUUUAAUUUUAAUUAAAACUAUGAAUUCCUUAUUCUAGCUACGGUGAAACCUCUUUUCAUAUUCAGGGUUGUCAGACUUGUAGCUUCAUUUCAGUAUUUUUAUAAAUAAAAUAUAAGCAAUACUCUGGCAAUGUUUACCAACUUUGCUUGAUUUGUUAUUACCAUAAGUUCUCAACUUUAGUAAAUGUUCUGGCAACCCUAUUUGUUAUGCUGUAGGAUAGUAGCAAUGGUAUGUAGUGUUGGAGAGUUACAAACAGUACAAAAGUACAAACAUGACUCAGAACAAUGGCAAUAAUCGACAUUUGCUAUAAUUUAAACUUGUAAAUUGUUUUCUCACUAAUUAAGGUCCACAUUUAGACGUAACAUAGUGUAUGUAUAGAUUAAAAAUAUCAAAUAAUACAGUGAGAAUAUGUGUGUAUUUUUUUCGAUUAAAAGCAAUAUCGAUUAUCGAUAAGUAAUAUAAUGAAAUAUCGACGGGGAGUCAUCGUGACUCAGUAGUCCAUCCAUAAAAUAAAUGAUUUUUAUCAUAUUGAGGUGCCUUCUUAGUUUUUGGUGCAUUUUAAUAUUUCAUUUGUGAGUUAGACCCUUAGAUAAUAUGGACGUUGAGGGCCGAUAUUGAAUCGAUUAUUUUAUUAUUAAAUGAAUUUAAUAUUAGACUGAUUAGCAACAAUACCUACAAAUAUUGGUACAAUAUACAAUUCGAUCGCUUGGAAUCAGGCUGUAUAAAACCAUAUGUCAAGAUCAGGUUUUAUUGUGGAUACAUGUAUGAUAAAUUAUAUAAAUAUGAAAAUGUUAUGUAUGUAAGUGGUUCAUUUGAAUUUUAAAAAUCUUACCAAAUAUCUAUCGAUUGAAUUCUAUUUUGCAUUCAUAAAGUGACAUUAUAGAGUUUUUUGUCACCGAGCACUCGAAUUUAUUUUUAGAUUUAAUAUAGUGUUUUAAAUUAAAGUUACAUCUGGGAGACACAUAUAACAUUAUAAGUCUUACUUAUAAACUUGUUUUAGCGUUACGAGGUGGUUAAGAAUUGUUUAAAUAGCUGUCAAAAAUAUUACAGAUUUCUAGUUUGAACCUUAUUAAGAGGCAAGAUGGCGGGUUUUGACAUACAGCUGAUCAAGUUAUGUUUUAACUAAGCAUAACUUUGCGAAUUUUUUAUAAGUAAGACUGUAUAUGAGUAUCAUUAGUAACUGCUCAAUAAAUCUACAAAUCGAUCCAGAAAAUGAACAAAAUAAGCAAUAAGUUAGAAUGACGGGAUCGAUCCGCGGAUAUAGAUCAAGAUUUGUUACUUUAGGCUAUUAUUAUGUGUGUCCCAGGUAUAAAGAAGAACAUGCUACGCGAAGUAUCUUGUAGCAACAUAUAGUGAAAUCAUGUAAAAUAAUUUAAUAUUUCUAUUGGUCUUUCACAUUUCAUUUUAUAUUUUAUAAUUACUCUUUAAAUCAUACAUCUAUUCAAUAUUAUUGUAUAUAUUUUUUUAGUGUUCAUUAUAUUUAAAUUUUAAAGUAUUUUUAAAACUUGUGACACUGUAUGACCUGAAAUAAACCCAUAGAGAUCUUU